GAUGAACGCUGGCGGCGUGCCUAAUACAUGCGAGUCGAGCGAACAGAUGAGGAGCUUGCUCCUCUGACGUUAGCGGCGGACGGGUGAGUAACACGUGUAUAACCUACCUAUAAGACUGGGAUAACUUCGGGAAACCGGAGCUAAUACCGGAUAAUAUAUUGAACCGCAUGGUUCAAUAGUGAAAGACGGUUUUGCUGUCACUUAUAGAUGGAUCCGCGCCGCAUUAGCUAGUUGGUAAGGUAACGGCUUACCAAGGCAACGAUGCGUAGCCGACCUGAGAGGGUGAUCGGCCACACUGGAACUGAGACACGGUCCAGACUCCUACGGGAGGCAGCAGUAGGGAAUCUUCCGCAAUGGGCGAAAGCUUGACGGAGCAACGCCGCGUGAGUGAUGAAGGUCUUCGGAUCGUAAAACUCUGUUAUUAGGGAAGAACAAAUGUGUAAGUAACUAUGCACGUCUUGACGGUACCUAAUCAGAAAGCCACGGCUAACUACGUG
rnacentral:rRNA from 1 species